AACACCGUCAUCACCAUCUUAGGUUUGACCUCCACCAGGUCCUCAGGAAGAGCGUACACGCGGGCGCCAAUCUUCCUCGCCAUGGAGAUGGCGUACCUGGAAACACAUAAUGACAAACAGCAUGUGGUGUCCUCGGCCUGCUUUUUUGGCUCUUUCUCUCACAGGAUCUGGAUCAAGACAGAGGGUCGUCAUUAACCUAAGGAGGCACACCUGGGCCGGAUGUGGUUCAUGACAUGAAAGCUCACCCCCUUCAAAGGUCUCUCUCUUUUCCAUCGUGGGCGCAGCUGCUGUGGUUUUGGAUUACUGUAGAUAUUUCCAUGCACCCAUAUGACAUGACUGAUUACUGACCUCCAUGACUGUUCUGUUAUUUAUAAUUACUUUUGUCAAUAAAUUUGCUUCUCCCCUUUUGUAAA